rnacentral:rRNA from 1 species
CAGUAGCCACGGUAAUACAGAGGGUGCGAGCGUUAAUCGGAUUUACUGGGCGUAAAGCGUGCGUAGGCGGCUAAUUGAGUCGGAUGUGAAAUCCCCGAGCUUAACUUGGGAAUUGCAUUCGAUACUGGUUAGCUAGAGUUUGGGAGAGGAUGGUAGAAUUCCAGGUGUAGCGGUGAAAUGCGUAGAGAUCUGGAGGAAUACCGAUGGCGAAGGCAGCCAUCUGGCCUAACACUGACGCUGAGGUACGAAAGCAUGGGGAGCAAACAGGAUUAGAUACCCGUGUAGUCCCUGUCUCUUAUAC